GAUGAACGCUGGCGGUGUGCCUAAUACAUGCAAGUCGAACGAGGUGCUUGAGUAGCAAUACAAGAGUAUCCUAGUGGCGAACGGGUGAGUAACGCGUGGAUGACCUGCCCCAGAGUGUGGGAUAACAGUCCGAAAGGAUUGCUAAUACCUCAUGUGGUUAUCGGAUUUAGAAACUGAUAACUAAAGCAGCAAUGCGCUUUGGGAGGGAUCUGCGUCCCAUCAGCUAGUUGGUGAGGUAACGGCUCACCAAGGCGACGACGGGUAGGGGACCUGAGAGGGUGGCCCCCCACAAUGGAACUGAAACACGGUCCAUACACCUACGGGUGGCAGCAGUAGGGAAUAUUGCUCAAUGGGCGAAAGCCUGAAGCAGCAACGCCGCGUGUGCGAUGAA
rnacentral:rRNA from 1 species